rnacentral:rRNA from 1 species
AGUGAACGCUGGCGGUAGGCCUAACACAUGCAAGUCGAACGGCAGCACAGUAAGAGCUUGCUCUUACGGGUGGCGAGUGGCGGACGGGUGAGGAAUACAUCGGAAUCUACUUUUUCGUGGGGGAUAACGUAGGGAAACUUACGCUAAUACCGCAUACGACCUACGGGUGAAAGCAGGGGAUCUUCGGACCUUGCGCGAUUGAAUGAGCCGAUGUCGGAUUAGCUAGUUGGCGGGGUACAGGCCCACCAAGGCGACGAUCCGUAGCUGGUCUGAGAGGAUGAGCAGCCACACUGGAACUGAGACACGGUCCAGACUCCUACGGGAGGCAGCAGUGGGGAAUAUUGGACAAUGGGCGCAAGCCUGAUCCAGCCAUACCGCGUGGGUGAAGAAGGCCUUCGGGUUGUAAAGCCCUUUUGUUGGGAAAGAAAAGCAGCAGGUUAAUACCCCGCUGUUCUGACGGUACCCAAAGAAUAAGCACCGGCUAACUUCGUG